GGUGCCCAAUGGUUCAACAGAUAAAGAGACAGGUAAAGGUGAAGCUUCAAAAGAUCUAACUCUCUCUGAACUUCAAAAAAAUUCUGUGGACAUAAAAUAAAAAAUAAUAUCAACUAAAUUAAUGUGUGUUAUUGAACUUUGCAGAUAAAGCUUUGUGUUGUUCUGAAAAGCUUCAUUCUGAUGUGUCAGCAUCCAAGCUCACAAUGGCCUUUUUUGAACCAGAAUCAGAACUAAUGAACAUUGAAAUGAAGGUAGUUUAUCCAGGAAAUCAUCCGAAUGAAUCUCAUCUUGUCAACCCUGAGAAUCUUGUUAAAGAGG
rnacentral:sRNA from 1 species